rnacentral:misc_RNA from 1 species
UAGGAAAGUCAUAAAUAUAUAAAUUAAAAUAUAUUAUUAUCCAUCCUAAUAAUAACUGAUAGUAUAUAUAUCUUUAUUAAUGAGUUCCCCCGCAAGGGGGGGGGACGACGGAGUAGUGGGUAAUAUUAUAUUUUAUAAUAAAGUAAUAAAUAUAAAUAAAUAAUAAUGGAAAUAAAAUACUUAUAAAAUUAACAUUUAUAAAAUAAGUAUAGUAUAUAUCUUAAUAAAUAUAAAUUAAACAAAUAUAAAAAAAAUCAAUCCUUUUUUUAUAUAUAAUAGGUAUUACAAUCACUCAUAUUAAUAUGUUGAGGUUGAACCUAUAAUAAUAGUUAUAUAUAUAUAUUUAUAUUAUUCUUAUAUAAGUAUAUAAAGAAUAAUAUAUUAAUUAUAUAUUAAUUUUAAUAUAUAAUUAAAUAAUAUUACGUAUCCCCUGAAUUAUAAUGUAUAUAAUUCUAAUAAUCUUGGGGAGAGUUAUUAUAAUAUACAAAAAUAUGCUUAA